UACGGAGGAUGCGAGCGUUAUCCGGAUUUAUUGGGUUUAAAGGGUGCGUAGGCGGCGAGUUAAGUCAGCGGUAAAAGCCCGGGGCUCAACCCCGGCCCGCCGUUGAAACUGGCUGGCUUGAGUUGGGGAAAGGCAGGCGGAAUGCGCGGUGUAGCGGUGAAAUGCAUAGAUAUCGCGCAGAACCCCGAUUGCGAAGGCAGCCUGCCGCAGCGUUACUGACGCUGAAGCUCGAAAGCGCGGGUAUCGAACAGG
rnacentral:rRNA from 1 species